GUGUAGGUUACAAUACACUAUCAAAAGUCUGCUGUUACUUUUAACUACAGUUGUCUGAAGAAAAUUAUGUGGCAUAUUUAUGUACAAACAUAUAUUAGUAACUUAACUUUUAGAGAAAUCUUAAUUUGUUUGAGUGGCUGCAUCUUGUAAUUUUCAUAGCCAGACUGUUUCCUUUUUAUUUUGAGAAAUGAGAAUAUUUUUUUUUUGUAAGAAUAUGAAAUUAAGCUGCAGGUUUACCAUCUCCCAUGAAAUCUUAAAAUUUUAAGAGGGUUUUAUUUUACAUUGUCUUGGAUAGUUGGAUUUAUG
rnacentral:misc_RNA from 1 species